GGACUACUGGGGUAUCUAAUCCUGUUUGCUCCCCACGCUGUCGCGCCUGAGCGUCGGUAACGGGCCAGUGAGCCGCCUUCGCCACUGGUGUUCUUCCGAAUAUCUACGAAUUUCACCUCUACACUCGGAAUUCCACUCACCUCUCCCGCACCCAAGUCCUCUAGUCUCAAAGGCCAUUCCAGAGUUGAGCUCUGGGCUUUCACCUCUGACUUGAAGGACCGCCUGCGCGCGCUUUACGCCCAGUAAUUCCGAACAACGCUAGCCCCCUUCGUAUUACCGCGGCUGCUGGCAC
rnacentral:rRNA from 1 species